UGUGGUUUAAUUCGAUGAUACGCGAGGAACCUUACCUGGGCUUAAAUGCAGAGUGCAUGAAGUGGAAACACUUCUUCCCUUCGGGGCUCUUUGCAAGGUGCUGCAUGGUUGUCGUCAGCUCGUGCCGUGAGGUGCGGGUUUAAGUCCCAUAACGAGCGCAACCCUUAUCGUUAGUUGCCAGCGGGUAAAGCCGGGAACUCUAGCGAAACUGCCGGUGUAAACCGAGAGGAAGGUGGGGAUGACGUCAAAUCAGCACGGCCCUUAUGUCCAGGGCUACACACGUGUUACAAUGGCCGGUACAGAGGGCAGCUACCUGGAGACAGGAUGCGAAUCUCGAAAGCCGGUCUCAGUUCGGAUCGGAGUCUGCAACUCGACUCCGUGAAGCUGGAUUCGCUAGUAAUCGUGGAUCAGCAUGCCACGGUGAAUACGUUCCCGGGUCUU
rnacentral:rRNA from 1 species